rnacentral:tRNA from 1 species
GUCGUUGUAGUAUAGUGGUUAGUAUUCUCGCCUGUCACGCGGGUGACCCGGGUUCGAUCCCCGGCAACGGCG